rnacentral:rRNA from 1 species
UACGAAGGGGGCUAGCGUUGCUCGGAAUCACUGGGCGUAAAGCGCACGUAGGCGGAUCGAUCAGUCAGGGGUGAAAUCCCAAGGCUCAACCUUGGAACUGCCUUUGAUACUGGGGAUCUCGAGUCCGGAAGAGGUGAGUGGAACUGCGAGUGUAGAGGUGAAAUUCGUAGAUAUUCGCAAGAACACCAGUGGCGAAGGCGGCUCACUGGUCCGGUACUGACGCUGAGGUGCGAAAGCGUGGGGAGCAAACAGG